CGAGGCUCCCGGGCCCGCCGGCGUCUGUGGGGAACUGGGGCGCUGGUCGGUGCGCGGGCUGGGACGCUAAGUCAUGAGGAAUUAAACUGGGAAACCUGGCGUGGGUCCAGGCGCCUUCCAGGAGGCAUCCGGCGCGGCCCGGACGUGCUUCUACCCAGAACCACCCCCUCCAGGCCGGGGUGCACUUAACGGGGCUAUACAAAGAGUCUGGUGGGUGACUGUGGGCCUCAUCCCUAUCCCGGGGUCUGAUAGGGAAGACUCUCGGGCCCCGCAGGGAAUAUCUGGCUAGUGCACCCUCGGCGGGAGCGCCACUCUCCCUCCUUGGGCGGCGCCCCCCACCUCUCAUCCCGCCCAAUCCGUUUUGCAAAGUCGGCCAAAACAAAAACAAACUUGGAGCGCUGAUAGACACUGUUAUUGCCCAUCUGAACUCGUCAACUGAGAAGGAAAGAGAUGGUUUAUGCUGUGAAUAAAAUACAGUUGUGCUGUGAUGUAAAUCCCCUCAUCCUGGAGCAGCUGAGCAAGGUCUAAGGCAGGAAGAACCUUCAAGCAGGUCAUGGCUCAGACUCCACUCCUUCCCGCCAUUGUGAAUAUUAUCAUCUUCAUCUUUUUAUACUGUACUACUUCUGCUACACUGACCUUCUCUCCAUGCCACCAAACCACACUCCUAAGUGCAGAGAAUAUGAUUGAUUCUCCUACUAUACCAAUUUCCAUGAGCAGGACCAAUUACAUAAUUUGCAGGGUCCAGAGGAAAAAAAAUGCAGAACUCCUCAUUGAAAAAUUACUAAGAAUUUCAAGAUGGUGGCAACAGAGCAUUAAACCAACCACAGGGUCUUUCUAACAUGGAGAACUAAGUGACUACACAGGCUACAUGUCCACGAAGCCAGACAGUCUCUGAAGUGCAGGCUCAACUCUGCCUGGCAGUGGCAAGGGCCAGGGCCAGUGACUGAAGCAACAAACUGCCAGAUGACUGCAGCUCAAGCCAAUGCACAAAGCCACUGCAACAAGAGAGGAAAUUCUUCCAUUUC
rnacentral:lncRNA from 1 species